AAAUGGCCGGAGACCACGAAAAGAGGAGGAAAUGUGAGAAUAUUAGAGACCUUAACAUGCAAACAAAUUUGAGCAACAGAUCACCUACAACUAGGCAAUCAAUUUCAUCCAACGGUCAUGAAACAAAGUACGUGUUUAGAAAAAAUCUUAAGCGACACCUCGAUUGACAAAAAAAAAAUGUAUUAAUGGGGAAUCACCAUGUUUCAGUGCAUUUAAUGCCCAUCAAAAUGGAUAUUACAGAAGUCUCCACCCUGCCAAGCACGAGUGAAGAUUUGGGGGAAAAUGUUGAUCAUAUUUUUUAAGUAUGUGCGAUCAACCCUGAAACAUGUGACCUCCUUGGGCUGCAAGGAGGUGAGUAGUGAGAACUAUCAAUUGUCUUGAAGAUCAAUGAUAGAAAAAGACAAAAUGAUGAAAAUAGGCAUUUUGAGGGAAGCACCGUGAUCACGCCGGGUAAGUAGCGCGACCGCUCUCACACUUGGCCACUGUAAAAGUGAGCAGCAUGGUCGUGCCAGUUGUCCAUAAAUGUGAUUUUUUGCGAUUAAGAAAUGGAAAUUUUGGAGUUUCACGAUAUUAACCUAAUUAACAUCGUUUAAACAUCAUUAGAUGCAAAUUAUGUCAAGUUUUCAUAGCCCUAAACCCAAAGAAACUUUGGAGGCCAUUGUGGAGAGUUUCAUUGGAUCUACAGCUAGUAUUUGUUUCUUCUCCUUUUUAUUUUUAUGCACUCUUUAAUUACUUUUAUGGAUGUGUUUGCUAUGAACAUGAACUAAUUUUAUUUUCUA